AACAUAAAGCCUUGAGGAGAGAGAGUUCCUGAAUAUUGAGAAGUUAAUAUUGAAUACGGGCGGUAGAUGAUGCAGGUGUUCCCAGAAAGAGGCAAUUGCCCAUGAAGGUGAAGUCAUGAAAGUCAUCACAGGAGACUCUCAUGAUUGGAGGUGAACCUCCAGUCAGACCUCAGAGGAAGCGGGGGUGGAACCCACAGAGGGACUGGAGGAGGGCAUGCCUGGGGGAGACCCGGUGUUAACAAGGUCCAGAGCACAGAACAUAGGGGAAGACACAGACGGUCCAUCUGGCUGAAUUUGAAGGGUCUGAGAAGCACAGGAGAAGAAAAGGUUCACGUCUCCCUUGGAAUUAGGCCUGGUGUGAGGUGUGCGUUGGUUGGAGAAAUGUCAGUGGAAGGGACGCGUGUCACCUCCCAGCGGAGGCAUCUAAGAGCCGCCUGCAUUUCUCCACACUCUGUUCCCUGCUGUCGUGCUGCUGGAAGACAAGUUAACAUGGACGUGCUGCGAGAUCAAAGCCUCCUGGAAUGCUGAGCCGCAUAUGGAGGGCAGCUGCCGGGAGGAAUUUCCCAGACCCUCAGCCCACUAAUGUGCACGAGAAGGCUUUGUCUUCUGUGUGCCUGGUACAUGCUGCUCAGCAACAUUCACAUGGGCCCGUGAGCCAAGCGUGUCGGGAGCUGCUAGCUCCAUUUUUGGCCCAAUUUUUGGAUUUAAAUGCAGGUACCAUCUUCAAGGACCUUCCAGAAGAAGAUUAAAAAGAAAAUACAUCAGAAACACCACGUACAUCCCCCGUGGCAGCUCUGGUGAUCAUGCUCUUAUUCAGAGAUACACGUUGUUUUGGAGAUGGGAAAAGGCUGAGCUGGAAAGAAACUGGGUUCAUAUUGGAAUUCACUGUCUACAUAAAUGUUUAUGAAAGUUUAAUUCUGCAAGCCAAGCUCGAAGCAUAUUGUCUACUACUAACAAUCGUACUCUAAAGUUUCAUAAGAUUCUGAAAAUUGGGUUUUUUUCUGCCUUCCCCACAACAACCCAGCUCCAAGAGAAGAACAUGGCUACCGGGGGGAUUGGGUGGGGAGGGAAGCUGGCUUCUGCAACUGGAGAAUGAACGAAAACAGCUUGGAGGAGGAGCCCAGACUCACAAGGGAGAGUGAGAUAAACAUCCAGCAGCGUCUUGGCAGCGAGGAGUACAGGACAUCUGCUCCGGGGAUGUUGACACUUAUCUAAGGGCUGGGCAGGAACCAGCAAAGUCCAACCUGCAGGAACCUAACUGGUCUUAACCUGGGCUUUUGAGAUCAAAAGCAUGGCUCGUGCCACAUCAAAGGUACCACCAUGUUCAGCCCAGAAGCUCCUGCUGUAGUACUGUGGCCAUCGAUAGCUUUGUUCCCAGAACUCUUUGGCAGAGUUGGCAUCCUUCACCGAGGUGCUGAAAGCUCAGGAAAGCCCCCUGCAUGUGACCCUCUGAAGAAUGUUCACUUUCUGAGACAGCUUACCUCCCACCAAUUAGGAUGCAAGGAUUUAUAGCAUACCUUCCCAGAGAGGUUCAGAAACCUUGGAGAUACUGACUCAGUUUCUAGCACAGUCAGCUAGGUGAUGAUAGAGAACAACCUACAAGAGAAGUUACGCUUUUCUCUCCAGCUGCUAGAACCAUGGUCAAUGCAAAAUGUAAAAUGCUGGAUUCUGCUAACUUUUGGAAGGGAGCAAGGAAAAAAUGGACACAUAUCUAAUCCUUUGUACUUGCCUUUCCCCCUACCCUACUCCAGAGGGGAAAAGCCUUCUGCCACAUCAAAAUCAACUCCUUAAUUGAGUUAAUACCUGCACUAUGGGGGCCUAGAUUGGGUGCUGGGUGAGAUACAAAGUUGCAUUGGCUAUGGGUACGACCUCAAGAAGCCAAAGUCCAGUGGGCCAGACAGACUGGGGACAUAAUCAUUACCAAUACCAGGCAGAAGUGAUAGUUAAAACACUAACUAAGGUAAUUUAGAGGAAAGAAAGAUUUAUAGAUAAGACAACAGUUAAAUAUGAAUCUCAGAUAAUACUGCAUAACUUUUUAGUAUGUCACAAAUAUUACUUGAGAUACCAGUCCCAAGGGGGGGCUGGUUCCAGGACUCCCCAAGGAUACCAAAAUCUGUGGGUGCUCAAAUCCUUUGUAUAAAAUGGUGUAACAUCUGCAUA